CGGAUUGAUCUUGGCUGGGGCAACCUGGCCUUGAUUGAAAAGUUCAUUAAACCCUCCCACCUAGAGGAAGGAGAAGUCGUAACAAGGUUUCCGUAGGUGAACCUGCGGAAGGAUCAUUGAAUCUAUCACAAUCCACACCGCGAACCAUCAUUGUUGCCUUCUGAAGUGNGUCCNACCGCNUCAGAGCCGGGGGUCGUAAGCUGAAACAUGCUUGCGUGCUCCCGGGUCGUCUGGCAUGCGCUUGCCGCAUGCUGGGCGUCGGUCUUAUAUACUAACCAACCAACACCAAACCAAAUCUAAUCUAUAAACCGAGUGCUUGGCUUAGAGCCAACGCUCACCAACCAAGACAACUCUCAACAACGGAUAUCUUGGCUCUCGGAUCGAUGAAGAACGCAGCGAAAUGCGAUACGUAGUGUGAAUUGCAGAAAUACGUGAAUCAUCGAAUCUUUGAACGCAAAUUGCGCUCGAGGCUUCGGCCAAGAGCAUGUCUGCCUCAGCGUCGGGUUAAUACUCGCUCCUAAUCCUCCUUCGGGUUGAUUGGGAACGGAACUGGCUUUCCCGGCUUGGUUCANUCUAAGCCGGGUCUGCUGAAGUGCAGAGGUUGAUGCAUGGACCCGCUAAAGGGCCUCUACUGGGUAGGCAAUUCAUUGCUAAUGCUUUAGUAGAUGGCUUGGGUAGAUGCCUGUCGACCCUAACCAGGAACUUGGAGCCUUGCGCUCUAAGCAACNCCCUUAUUUUCUCGACCUGAGCUCAGGCAAGAACACCCGCUGAACUUAAGCAUAUCAAUAAGCGGAGGAAAGAACUAACAAGGAUUCCCUUAGUAACGGCGAGCGAAACGGGAAUAGCCCAACUUGAAAAUCUCCCUUUGGAGAAUUGUAGUCUAUAGAAGCGCCCUCAUGGGCUGGCAGAGCUCAAGUCGGAUCGAAUGCCGCGUCAGAGAGGGUGAUAACCCCGUCGGCUCUGUCCUAGUCCUUCCACGAGGUGCUUUCCACGAGUCGGGUUGUUUGGGAAUGCAGCCCUAAUUUGGAGGUAAAUCCCUUCUAAGGCUAAAUACUGCCGAGAGACCGAUAGCGAACAAGUACCGUGAGGGAAAGAUGAAAAGAACUUUGAAAAGAGAGUUAAAAGUGCUUGAAAUUGUUGAGAGGGAAGCGAUUGGCGCUUGUGGGUGCGCCCAGGCUUAAGUGGUCCUAACGGCCCAUUGAAUGUGCUGGGCGCUGGUCAGAGUGGGUUGAUUUGGCGGGAUGAAGUCGGGUCCACCAAGGUAACCCG
rnacentral:sRNA from 1 species